AUCCAGUUGACCAGUCUCAAAUCGGACGAAACGCGCGUCCUGGAU
rnacentral:hammerhead_ribozyme from 1 species